CCCUUAGAUGUCCGGGGCCGCACGCGCGCUACACUGAAGGACUCAGCGUGGCUUUCUCCCUGACCCGAAAGGGUUGGGAAACCCGUUGAAUCUCCUUCGUGAUAGGGAUUGGGGCUUGAAAUUGUUCCCCAUGAACGAGGAAUUCCCAGUAAGCGCGAGUCAUAAGCUCGCGUUGAUUACGUCCCUGCCCUUUGUACACACCGCCCGUCGCUACUACCGAUUGAACGGUUUAGUGAGGGCCUCGGAUUGGUCUCGGCCCGCUCUUUACCGGGCGGCGCCGUUGGUCGAGAAGACGCUCGAACUUGAUCGUUUAGAGGAAGUAAAAGUCGUAACA
rnacentral:rRNA from 1 species